AGAGUUUGAUCCUGGCUCAGGACGAACGCUGGCGGCGUGCUUAACACAUGCAAGUCGAACGGAAAGGCCCUUCGGGGUACUCGAGUGGCGAACGGGUGAGUAACACGUGGGUGAUCUGCCCUGCACUCUGGGAUAAGCCUGGGAAACUGGGUCUAAUACCGGAUAGGACCGCAUGCUUCAUGGUGUGUGGUGCAAAGCUUUUGCGGUGUGGGAUGAGCCCGCGGCCUAUCAGCUUGUUGGUGGGGUAAUGGCCUACCAAGGCGACGACGGGUAGCCGGCCUGAGAGGGUGACUGGCCACACUGGGACUGAGAUACGGCCCAGACUCCUACGGGAGGCAGCAGUGGGGAAUAUUGCACAAUGGGCGCAAGCCUGAUGCAGCGACGCCGCGUGAGGGAUGACGGCCUUCGGGUUGUAAACCUCUUUCAGUAGGGACGAAGCGAAAGUGACGGUACCUACAGAAGAAGGACCGGCCAACUACGUGCCAGCAGCCGCGGUAAUACGUAGGGUCCGAGCGUUGUCCGGAAUUACUGGGCGUAAAGAGCUCGUAGGUGGUUUGUCGCGUUGUUCGUGAAAACUCACAGCUUAACUGUGGGCGUGCGGGCGAUACGGGCAGACUAGAGUACUGCAGGGGAGACUGGAAUUCCUGGUGUAGCGGUGGAAUGCGCAGAUAUCAGGAGGAACACCGGUGGCGAAGGCGGGUCUCUGGGCAGUAACUGACGCUGAGGAGCGAAAGCGUGGGUAGCGAACAGGAUUAGAUACCCCGGUAGUCCAA
rnacentral:rRNA from 1 species